rnacentral:rRNA from 1 species
GUGGGGAAUUUUGGACAAUGGGCGCAAGCCUGAUCCAGCAAUGCCGCGUGCAGGAAGAAGGCCUUCGGGUUGUAAACUGCUUUUGUACGGAACGAAACGGUCCGGGUUAAUACCCUGGGCUAAUGACGGUACCGUAAGAAUAAGCACCGGCUAACUACGUGCCAGCAGCCGCGGUAAUACGUAGGGUGCAAGCGUUAAUCGGAAUUACUGGGCGUAAAGCGUGCGCAGGCGGUUUUGUAAGACAGGCGUGAAAUCCCCGGGCUCAACCUGGGAAUUGCGAUGGUGACUGCAAGGCUGGAGUGCGGCAGAGGGGGAUGGAAUUCCGCGUGUAGCAGUGAAAUGCGUAGAUAUGCGGAGGAACACCGAUGGCGAAGGCAAUCCCCUGGGCCUGCACUGACGCUCAUGCACGAAAGCGUGGGGAGCAAACAGGAUUAGAAACCCUUGUAGUCC